UCCGACCUACGGGACGCAGCAGUGGGGAAUAUUGCACAAUGGGGGAAACCCUGAUGCAGCGACGCCGCGUGAGUGAAGAAGUAUUUCGGUAUGUAAAGCUCUGUCAGCAGGGAAGAAAAUGACGGUACCUGACCAAGAAGCCCCGGCUAACUACGUGCCAGCAGCCGCGGUAAUACGUAGGGGGCAAGCGUUAUCCGGAUUUACUGGGUGUAAAGGGCGUGUAGGCGGGAGUGCAAGUCAGAUGUGAAAACUAUGGGCUCAACCCAUAGCCUGCAUUUGAAACUGUACUUCUUGAGUGCUG
rnacentral:rRNA from 1 species